ensembl:lncRNA
AUGGGGACUAUAUGGUGGCAGGACCCAAUCCCGCACUGCGCGCAGUGUGAAAGUGCAACACACCUUCAAGGGGAGUUCUUGAAAGUAUUGUUCCUUAGGAAGGCAGAAUACACACUAGAACUUCCAGAGAACACAGCAACUGCACUUUCCUUACAAAGUGUACAAUCUCAUGUGUCGAGUGAUACGUCAAUGCCCUCAGCUGGAUGGAUUAUCAGAUCAAUUCAAGUGCUGAUCAGUUUGCUAAACUAUAUGAUGAUGGAGCCCUGAGAAGAGGUUUAAGCCCUAAUACUACUGACAAGUAAUGGAGAGUCAUCUUCUUCCUUUUUUUCCCUUUUUUUCAUUUUUUUAGUACUUGAAAACAGUACUGGAUACUCAACAUUGGUGAUAUUGAAGUCUUAAUUAUCUGAGGAUGGGUACAGAAGAUGGAAAGCUCCAUUACACCACCCCACCAAUGCUAAGUGGAGGUUGAAGGGACAAUUAAAUCUCCAUGCCCUCUGUUCAGACUUUGGCUGCUCUUGAGUUUGAAAAUGAGGGUGCUAAUGUCAAUGCUAAGUUUUGUGAUAUGGAUAUCUGUCUCCUGGAAACUGGACUGAACCCCCCUCCCCAAAAAUAAUUUCAUGUAGGUGUUAAAAUAGCCAAUGGAAAAGUAACAAUUCUAAUGUUCUGGACUGGAUUACAGUUGGCAAUAUACAUGUUGCUUUAUCAUUCCUUUUUAAUAUUCACCUAACUCAAAUUAUAGUCUUAUCUUGUCAUAGCUAAAGUCAUUCGUUUAAUUUAUGCACCCUGGAGGGAGGGAACAUGUCUACAUCUCUGUCUGCACAUCACUUGGCACAACAGGCUCCUGAUGCUGACUAUAGAUAAAUAAUAUAGCAAUAUUAAUAAUUAAUGGAGAAGAGCUUUCUAUUGCCCCAACUCUGCAAAAAAAAUUACACCUUCUGAGGAUAUGGCAUAGUAUAUGUAAUACUACAUUUUUGUGGCCUAAUAUGUGACUUUGAAAGAACAGUUCUGUUUCAAAAUAUCAGCUUGGUUCCAAUGAGAUGUUAACUGAAAUUUAAGGCUCAGUUUAGAUCAUAAAAAUAAUUUUGUGAAUUCUAGAAGUAAAUGUUUUGGUUUUGCAGGCAAGGUUAUUUUUUAGUAUCUAAACAUUAAGAGGGGUGAAAUUUUUUUGUCCAAAUCUUUUUUUUCCAUUGAAAAACGCAGAAUCAGGUUGAUUCAAAUUGAAUUCAACAAAUGGUUUUAAUCUAAAAACAAAACAAAAUGGAAAUGGUGAAACAGUUAAUUUCAGCAUUUUCAAAAUGCAAAAAUUUGACUUCUUAGCACAGAACAAAGUUUUGUUUUGGAAUUUCCCUCAUUUCCCCCCCCCGCAAAAAUUAAAACCAGGUCUAUUCUUAAAAAACAAAAAACCACCAGCCCUCAAAAUCUAAAUGAAACAUUUUGUUUCCAGUUGACCAAAAAACAGUUUUUGUGGUGUGAGAAGUGGGGAGAGGAGUUUGCACCCAAAUUGAAUAUUUAGUUAUUCACAUUGCAUUGUUGGAGAGAGCUAUGUGGCUGAUGCCUAUUGCUGAAUUCUGAGCCAACUGCCUCCAUCUAUACCCUGGGCCUAGAUUACCUUUCCCUACUAAGAAGUUGAUGCUAGGGGUUGGUUUGUUUGUUUUCUACUGACCUUAUUCUAUUUUUUUUAAAUAGUUCCAUAUUUAGCAAGGAAAAUUAAUAUGCAGUCAUGAAAAAUAUCCUGUUUGAUUAUUUAUGAUUAUGGUUUCAGAGUGUGUUUGGUCUGUUUCCAAAACAAAUAGUGACGUUUCAUUCGUUGUGAGUAAAAAUGUAUUAGUAGGUUCCACAACUUUGAGUCAUCCACACUUCAACUUGCACCAGGAAUUUGUGAUCGAUCCUCUUAAAGUUGUCAUCUUAAUGGGCCAUCUUGUAUGUCCAAUAUACUACUAUGCACCACCAAGUUCAUUUUCCAUCUUUUGAGAAGAUUCUUUGCUAUUCACAAGUAAAAUCUUAACUAACAACUUCCUUGAGUUUUAUGCACUUUUCUCAAUUUGCAAAUAAUGAACUAUGACUAACAAAUGAUAUCAUUACCCAUUUUAACUAAAAAAUGUAAUAAAUAAUGUAAUAAAUAAAUCA